AUGAACGCUGGCGGCGUGCUUAACACAUGCAAGUCGAACGAAGCACUCUAUUUGAUUUUCUUCGGAAAUGAAGAUUUUGUGACUGAGUGGCGGACGGGUGAGUAACGCGUGGGUAACCUGCCUCAUACAGGGGGAUAACAGUUGGAAACGACUGCUAAUACCGCAUAAGCGCACAGGAUCGCAUGAUCCGGUGUGAAAAACUCCGGUGGUAUGAGAUGGACCCGCGUCUGAUUAGCCAGUUGGCAGGGUAACGGCCUACCAAAGCGACGAUCAGUAGCCGACCUGAGAGGGUGACCGGCCACAUUGGGACUGAGACACGGCCCAAACUCCUACGGGAGGCAGCAGUGGGGAAUAUUGCACAAUGGGGGAAACCCUGAUGCAGCGACGCCGCGUGAGCGAAGAAGUAUUUCGGUAUGUAAAGCUCUAUCAGCAGGGAAGAAGAAUGACGGUACCUGACUAAGAAGCACCGGCUAAAUACGUGCCAGCAGCCGCGGUAAUACGUAUGGUGCAAGCGUUAUCCGGAUUUACUGGGUGUAAAGGGAGCGCAGGCGGUGCGGCAAGUCUGAUGUGAAAGCCCGGGGCUCAACCCCGGUACUGCAUUGGAAACUGUCGUACUAGAGUGUCGGAGGGGUAAGUGGAAUUCCUAGUGUAGCGGUGAAAUGCGUAGAUAUAUGGAGGAACACCAGUGGCGAAGGCGGCCUACUGGGCACCAACUGACGCUGAGGCUCGAAAGUGUGGGUAGCAAACAGGAUUAGAUACCCUGGUAGUCCACGCCGUAAACGGUGGAUGCUGGAUGUGGGGCCCGUUCCACGGGUUCCGUGUCGGAGCUAACGCGUUAAGCAUCCCGCCUGGGGAGUACGGCCGCAAGGCUAAAACUCAAAGAAAUUGACGGGGGCCCGCACAAGCGGUGGAGCAUGUGGUUUAAUUCGAAGCAACGCGAAGAACCUUACCAAGUCUUGACAUCCCGAUGACAGAGUAUGUAAUGUACUUUCUCUUCGGAGCAUCGGUGACAGGUGGUGCAUGGUUGUCGUCAGCUCGUGUCGUGAGAUGUUGGGUUAAGUCCCGCAACGAGCGCAACCCCUGUUCUUAGUAGCCAGCGGUUCGGCCGGGCACUCUAGGGAGACUGCCAGGGAUAACCUGGAGGAAGGCGGGGAUGACGUCAAAUCAUCAUGCCCCUUAUGACUUGGGCUACACACGUGCUACAAUGGCGUAAACAAAGGGAAGCGGAGCCGUGAGGCCGAGCAAAUCUCAAAAAUAACGUCUCAGUUCGGACUGUAGUCUGCAACCCGACUACACGAAGCUGGAAUCGCUAGUAAUCGCAGAUCAGAAUGCUGCGGUGAAUACGUUCCCGGGUCUUGUACACACCGCCCGUCACACCAUGGGAGUUGGAAAUGCCCGAAGUCAGUGACCCAACCGCAAGGAGGGAGCUGCCGAAGGCAGGUUCGAUAACUGGGGUG
rnacentral:rRNA from 1 species